CCUACGGGUGGCAGCAGUGGGGAAUAUUGGACAAUGGGCGCAAGCCUGAUCCAGCCAUGCCGCGUGAAUGAUGAAGGCCUUCGGGUUGUAAAGUUCUUUUAGUGGAGAAAUGGUAUCCACAGAAAAAGCCCCGGCUAACUUCGUGCCAGCAGCCGCGGUAAUACGAAGGGGGCUAGCGUUGUUCGGAAUUACUGGGCGUAAAGGGUUUGUAGGCGGUUGAACAAGUCAGUGGUGAAAGCCCAGAGCUUAACUCUGGAAUUGCCAUUGAAACUGUUCAGCUAGAGAGUGUUAGAGGAAAGUGGAAUUCCUAGUGUAGGAGUGAAAUCCGUAGAGAUUAGGAGGAAUAUCGAUGGCGAAGGCAGCUUUCUGGGACAUUCUGACGCUGAGAAACGAAAGCGUGGGUAGCAAACAGGAUUAGAUACCCUUGUAGUC
rnacentral:rRNA from 1 species